rnacentral:rRNA from 1 species
GGCGAACGCUGGCGGCGUGCCUAAUACAUGCAAGUUGAGCGCUGAAGGUUGGUACUUGUACCAACUGGAUGAGCAGCGAACGGGUGAGUAACGCGUGGGGAAUCUGCCUUUGAGCGGGGGACAACAUUUGGAAACGAAUGCUAAUACCGCAUAAAAACUUUAAACACAAGUUUUAAGUUUGAAAGAUGCAAUUGCAUCACUCAAAGAUGAUCCCGCGUUGUAUUAGCUAGUUGGUGAGGUAAAGGCUCACCAAGGCGAUGAUACAUAGCCGACCUGAGAGGGUGAUCGGCCACAUUGGGACUGAGACACGGCCCAAACUCCUACGGGAGGCAGCAGUAGGGAAUCUUCGGCAAUGGACGAAAGUCUGAACGAGCAACGCCGCGUGAGGGAAGAAGGUUUUCGGAUCGUAAAACUCUGUUGGUAGAGAAGAACGUUGGUGAGAGUGGAAAGCUCAUCAAGUGACGGUAACUACCCAGAAAGGGACGGCUAACUACGUG